rnacentral:rRNA from 1 species
AUUGAACGCUGGCGGCAUGCUUUACACAUGCAAGUCGAACGGCAGCGCGGGCUUCGGCCUGGCGGCGAGUGGCGAACGGGUGAGUAAUACAUCGGAACGUGCCCAGUAGUGGGGGAUAGCUCGGCGAAAGCCGGAUUAAUACCGCAUACGCCCUGAGGGGGAAAGCGGGGGAUCUUCGGACCCCGCGCUAUUGGAGCGGCCGAUGGCAGAUUAGCUAGUUGGUGGGGUAAAGGCCUACCAAGGCGACGAUCUGUAGCUGGUCUGAGAGGACGACCAGCCACACUGGGACUGAGACACGGCCCAGACUCCUACGGGAGGCAGCAGUGGGGAAUUUUGGACAAUGGGCGAAAGCCUGAUCCAGCAAUGCCGCGUGUGUGAUGAAGGCCUUCGGGUUGUAAAGCACUUUUGGCGGGAACGAAAAGGACUGUGCCAAUACCACGGUUCGAUGACGGUACCCGCAGAAUAAGCACCGGCUAACUACGUG